GACGAACGCUGGCGGCGUGCCUAAUACAUGCAAGUCGAACGGAAGGGCCCAGCGCUUGCUGUGUGCUCGUUUGGCGCAGGGGUGAGUAACACACGUGGAACCUGUCCUCGAUAUUGGGGUAUAUCACCGAGAAAUGGGCUCAUACCCGAGAGGACAUCCUGCUUCGCGGGGGGGGUUGGUGAGAUUCGGCGGAAGGGGAUGGUAUGGGGGCGUAUCAGCUUGCUGGAGGUGUAUGGGCUUACCAAGGCUUUGCCGGGUAGCCGGCCUGAGAGGGUGACCGGCCACAUUGGGACUGAGAUACGGCCCAGACUCGUACGGGAGGCAGCAGUGGGGAAUAUUGCACAAUGGGCGGAAGCCGGAUGAAGAAACGCCGCGGGCGGGAUGACGUCCUUCGGGUUGUAAACCGAUUUCGCCUGUGACGGAGCGUGAGUGACGGUAAUGGAUAAAGAAGCCCCGGCUAACUACGUG
rnacentral:rRNA from 1 species